AUCCUUUUGUAGUUCAUAAGUGUGAUGAUUGGGUGUUCACGCUCUUGUGUGACAUGUGUCUACCACAAACCUGGUUACGACACCCGCACAUUACCGUGUGACA